UACGUAGGGCGCAAGCGUUGUCCGGAAUUAUUGGGCGUAAAGAGCGUGUAGGCGGCUAUACAGGUCCGCUGUGAAAACUCGAGGCUCAACCUCGAGACGUCGGUGGAAACCGUAUGGCUAGAGUCCGGAAGAGGAGAGUGGAAUUCCUGGUGUAGCGGUGAAAUGCGCAGAUAUCAGGAAGAACACCCGUGGCGAAGGCGGCUCUCUGGGAGGUACUGACGCUGAGACGCGAAAGCGUGGGGAGCGAACAGG
rnacentral:rRNA from 1 species